rnacentral:rRNA from 1 species
CCUACGGGUGGCUGCAGUGGGGAAUAUUGCGCAAUGGUCGAAAGACUGACGCAGCGACGCCGCGUGGAGGAUGACGCCCUUCGGGGUGUAAACUCCUGUUGCUCGGGACGAACCUCCCCUUUCGAGGGGACUGACGGUACCGAGUGAGGAAGCACCGGCUAACUCUGUGCCAGCAGCCGCGGUAAUACAGAGGGUGCGAGCGUUGUCCGGAAUCACUGGGCGUAAAGGGCGCGUUUGCGGCUUGGGAAGUGAAAGCUCGAGGCUCAACCUCGAGUCUGCCGUGCGAACUGCCAGGCUGGAGCACGGUAGAGGCACAUGGAAUUCCGGGUGUAGCGGUGGAAUGCGUAGAGAUCCGGAAGAACACCGGUGGCGAAGGCGGUGUGCUGGGCCGUUGCUGACGCUGAUGCGCGACAGCGUGGGGAGCAAACAGGAUUAGAUACCCUGGUAGUC